rnacentral:rRNA from 1 species
GACGAACCGUCCUAACGUUGUUCGGAAUCACUGGGCUUAAAGGGCGCGUAGGCGGGUUCCCAAGUCGGUGGUGAAAUCUUUCGGCCCAACCGGAAAACAGCCGCCGAUACUGGGAGUCUUGAGGGAGGUAGGGGUCGAUGGAACUUCCGGUGGAGCGGUGAAAUGCGUAGAUAUCAGGAGGAACACCGGUGGCGAAGGCGGCUCUCUGGACGGUGACUGACGCUGAGACGCGAAAGCGUGGGGAGCAAACAGG